AAUGUUUUUCCAUAAUUUGAUGC
rnacentral:siRNA from 1 species